CAGCCUGGCGAAGCAAGUUCACACAACAUACGUUCUGUGUACGUCUGAAGGGCUGACACAUACAUAUUUGUAUGACGAAAACCCGCUUCUUGUGUCUCCCAGUUGACUGUAGCCGACUGUACUGGCGGUGGAUGUGAUCGUCUUUCCUGAGCUU